rnacentral:rRNA from 1 species
CUGUACGUCGAUAGAAUGUAAAUCAAAUAUCUUCGCCCUGAAAAAGCGUUGGUAAACUUUAUACAACUUUCAACAACGGAUCUCUUGGCUCUCGCAUCGAUGAAGAACGCAGCGAAAUGCGAUAAGUAAUGUGAAUUGCAGAUUUUCAGUGAAUCAUCGAAUCUUUGAACGCACCUUGCGCACCUUGGUAUUCCGAGGAGCAUGCCUGUUUGAGUGUCAUUAAAUUUCUCAACGCCGAUUCGAUUUGGUUUUUACCAUGUCGUUUUGGACGCUUGGAUUUUGGAGCGUGCUGGCCCUUGCCCGGGUCGGCUCCUCUUAAAAGCAUUGGCGGAAUUACGUUGGUCUUUUCGGUCAUCAGUGUGAUAAUUAUGUUACGCUGUCGGCCUAGAUCAAAGUCCGCUUAUAAUGGUCUUUGGACAAAAUUUAACAACCAAAAAUUUGACCUCAAAUCAGGUAGGACUACCCGCUGAACUUAAGCAUAUCAAUAAGCGGAGGAAAAGAAACUAACAAGGAUUCCCCUAGUAACUGCGAGUGAAGCGGGAAAAGCUCAAAUUUAAAAUCUGGCGGUCUUUUGGCCGUCCGAGUUGUAAUCUGGAGAAGCGUUUUCCGCGUCGGACCGUGUACAAGUCUUCUGGAACGGAGCGUCAUAGAGGGUGAGAAUCCCGUCUUUGACACGGACUGCCGAUGCUUUUGUGAUGCGCUCUCGAAGAGUCGAGUUGUUUGGGAAUGCAGCUCAAAACGGGUGGUAAAUUCCAUCUAAAGCUAAAUAUUGGCGAGAGACCGAUAGCGAACAAGUACCGUGAGGGAAAGAUGAAAAGCACUUUGGAAAGAGAGUUAAACAGUACGUGAAAUUGUUGAAAGGGAAACGUUUGAAGUCAGUCGCGUUGGUCGAGACUCAGCCUUGCUUCUGCCUGGCGUAUUUCUUGGCCGACGGGUCAGCAUCAAUUUUGACCGUCGGAUAAAGGUUGGAGGAAUGUGGCAUCUCUCGGGAUGUGUUAUAGCCUCUGAUUCGCAUACGGCGAUUGGGAUUGAGGAACUCAGCACGCCUUUAUGGUCGGGGUUCGCCCACGUAACGUGCUUAGGAUGCUGGCAUAAUGGCUUUAAGCGACCCGUCUUGAAACACGGACC